rnacentral:rRNA from 1 species
GGUUCGAUCAUGGCUCAGAUUGAACGCUGGCGGACGCUUUUGCCAUGCAAGUCGAACGGCAGCACGGACUUCGGUCUGUGUGCGAGUGGCGAACGGGUGAGUAAUGUAAUCGGAACGCCUAGUAGCGGGGGAUAACUACGCGAAAGCGUAGUCACAAUACCGCACACGGCCCUUCGGGAGAAAGCGGGGACCUUCGGGCCUCGCACUAUUAGAGCGGCCGAUAUCGGAUUAGCUAGCUGGUGGGGUAACGGCUCACCAAGGCGACGAUCCAGUUGGUUUGAGAGAUGACUCCAGCCACACUGGGACUGAGACACGUCCAGACUCUACGGGAGGCAGCAGCGGGGAAUUUUGGACAAUGGGGGAACCCUGAUCCAGCCAUCCUUGCGCAAAGGGAUGAAGGCUCCCGGGUUGUGUUGACUUUUUGGCAGGAAAGAAACGGCACGGGAUAAUACCCCGUGCAACUGACGGUACCUGCAGAAUAAGCACCGGCUAACUACGUGCCAGCAGCCGCGGUAAUACGUAGGGUGCAAGCGUUAAUCGGAAUUACCGGGCGUAAAGCGUGCGCAGGCGGUUCGGAAAGAAAGAUGUGAAAUCCCAGAGCUUAACUUUGGAACUGCAUUUAACUACCGAGCUAGAGGUGUCGAGGGAGGUGAAUUCCGGCAGCAGUGGUAGUAAAUGCGUAGAUAUGCGGAGGAACACCGAUGGCGAAAGUCUCCGGGAUAACACUGACGCUCAUGCACGAAAGCGCGUGGCUAAACAGGAUUAGAUACUCCUGGUAGUCCACGCCCUAAACGAUGUCAACUAGCUGUUGGGGCCUUCGGGCCUGGUAGCGCAGCUAACGCGUGAAGUUGACCGCCUGGGGAGUACGGUCGCAAGAUUAAAACUCAAAGGAAUUGACGGGGACUCCGCACAAGCGGUGGAUGAUGUGGAUUAAUUCGAUGCAACGCGAAAACCUUACCUACCCUGACAUGUCUGGAAUCCCGAAGAGAUUUGGGAGUGCUCGCAAGAGAACCGGAACACAGGUGCUGCAUGGCUGUCGUCAGCUCGUGUCAAUGUGAGAUGUUGGGUUAAGUCCCGCAACGAGCGCAACCCUUGUCAUUAGUUGCUACGAAAGGGCACUCUAGACGAGACUGCCGGUGACAAACCGGAGGAAGGUGGGGAUGACGUCAAGUCCCAUGGCCCCCAGCGGCAGGGCUUCACACGUCAUACAAUGGCGUCGAGAGGGUCGCCAACCCGCGAGGGGGAGCCAAUCCCAGAAACCCGAUCGUAGUCCGGAUCGCAGUCUGCAACUCGACUGCGUGAAGUCGGAAUCGCUAGUAAUCGCGGAUCAGCAGUGUCGCGGUGAAUACCGUUCCCGGGUCUUGUACACACCGCCCGUCACACCAUGGGAGUGGGUUUUACCAGAAGUAGUUAGCCUAACCGUAAGGAGGGCGAUUACCACGGUAGGAUUCAUGACUGGGGUGAAGUCGUAACAAGCAAAG